CCCUAUGUUCUAUUUUAAGUAACGGCGGCCAUGUUUUUUGACGGAUCAAAAAUCGAAGCACACACUUUGUGCAGGAUAAUCUAAGGAACAAUCAUGCUAAGUUUCAUUCAAAUCCAUUCAGUAGUUACAGAGGAGAAGAUGUUUGAAAAAUUGUUAACGACGACGACGACGGACGCCAAGUGAUGAGAAAAGCUCACAUGGCCUUUUAGGCCAGGUGAGCUAAAAAACGGCUAUUUUUUUU
rnacentral:lncRNA from 1 species